rnacentral:rRNA from 1 species
GACGAACGCUGGCGGCGUGCUUAACACAUGCAAGUCGAACGGUAAGGCCCUUCGGGGUACACGAGUGGCGAACGGGUGAGUAACACGUGGGUGAUCUGCCCUGCACUUCGGGAUAAGCCUGGGAAACUGGGUCUAAUACCGGAUAGGACCACUGCCUGCAUGGGUGGUGGUGGAAAGCUUUUGCGGUGUGGGAUGGGCCCGCGGCCUAUCAGCUCGUUGGUGGGGUAAUGGCCUACCAAGGCGACGACGGGUAGCCGGCCUGAGAGGGUGACAGGUCACACUGGGACUGAGAUACGGCCCAGACUCCUACGGGAGGCAGCAGUGGGGAAUAUUGCACAAUGGGCGCAAGCCUGAUGCAGCGACGCCGCGUGAGGGAUGACGGCCUUCGGGUUGUAAACCUCUUUCAGCACCGACGAAGCGCAAGUGACGGUAGGUGCAGAAGAAGGACCGGCCAACUACGUGCCAGCCGCCGCCGUAA